rnacentral:rRNA from 1 species
GGAGGGCGCGAGCGUUAUUCGGAAUCAUUGGGCGUAAAGCGCGUGUAGGCGGCUGGGAAAGUCGGAUGUGAAAGCCCGGGGCUCAACCCCGGAAUUGCAUUCGAAACUGCUCAGCUAGAGUCUCGGAGAGGAGGGCGGAAUUCCCGGUGUAGAGGUGAAAUUCGUAGAUAUCGGGAGGAACACCAGUGGCGAAGGCGGCCCUCUGGACGAUGACUGACGCUGAGACGCGAAAGCGUGGGGAGCAAACAGGGAUUAGAUACCCUGGUAGUCCACGCCGUAAACGUUGGGUGCUAGGUGUCGCGGGUAUUGACCCCCCUGCGGUGCCGUCUUUAACGCAUUUAGCACCCCGCCUGGGGGAGUACGGUCGCAAGACUAA